UACGUAGGUGGCAAGCGUUGCCCGGAUUUACUGGGCGUAAAGGAUGCGUAGGCGGACAUUUAAGUCUGAUGUGAAAUACCCGAGCUUAACUUGGGUGCUGCAUUUGAAACUGGGUGUCUAGAGUGCAGGAGAGGUAAGUGGAAUUCCUAGUGUAGCGGUGAAAUGCGUAGAGAUUAGGAAGAACACCAGUGGCGAAGGCGACUUACUGGACUGUAACUGACGCUGAGGCAUGAAAGCGUGGGGAGCAAACAGG
rnacentral:rRNA from 1 species